CUGAUUGCCACAUGUCUCCUUUUCCAUAUUUUCCCCAAUUGUGGAAUCUUCAAGACAAACGGUGCUAAUUGGAUAAAUAACUAGCCCAGCUUCACAAAUACUGUUUGCUUCACUGAAACCUGGAAGCAGGGCAAGAGUAUGUGAAUGUCCAGUAGACCGUACCUCAGAGUGUAUGCUGAUAGCAGUGACAUGGAGCACCAGGGUGAAUGGGAGGGGAACAGCAAGAAAUGUUCCCAGUGGUCUCCUGCUUCUAAAUCAUUGCAGUUCAAAAUGUGGUCCACAAUCAGCAGCUCUGGCAUCAUCUGAGAACUUGACAGAAAUGCGCAAGCCCAGGCUCCCCACCCCAGAUCUACGAACUACCAGUACUUCAUUCAGCAGGAUCCACAGGUGGCUCACAUGCAUGUAAAGUCCGAAGACCACCACUCUACACCUCUGCUAAAUGAAAGCAAGAGAAAAACAAAACUUAAGCCCAUUUGUAUUUACUAAAGUCCACCAAGUCUCAGACUCAAGGAAGGGGAGUGGAAAAAGAGUGGUCUUUAGCCUACAAACGUGAUUAUCUAUGUUCAUCAAGUGUCCCCUGUUGGUGUCUCUGAAGCCACAUUUUCAAAACAACUACUUUCUGGGGAAAGAAACUCUCAGGUAUAAUUCAAUAGAUGCAUGUGGCAUGUGAAUAGGGAAACUAACUUGGGGAUUACAAGAGUUCCUGUUUGAGAAUUAGAAGGGUGCUCCAGUGUUAAAACUAAAACCAUAGGUAAAACAGAAAGC
rnacentral:lncRNA from 1 species